rnacentral:rRNA from 1 species
UACGAAGGGGGCUAGCGUUGUUCGGAAUUACUGGGCGUAAAGCGCGCGCAGGCGGUUCUUCAAGUCAGUGGUGAAAGCCCGGAGCUCAACUCCGGAACUGCCAUUGAAACUGUGGAACUUGAGGAUGAGAGAGGUGAGUGGAAUUCCCAGUGUAGAGGUGAAAUUCGUAGAUAUUGGGAAGAACACCGGUGGCGAAGGCGGCUCACUGGCUCACUACUGACGCUGAGGCGCGAAAGCGUGGAGAGCAAACAGG